GGUAGUUUAUGAGGAGCAGAAGCUCAUUCAUGGUUCUGGAGGGGAAAUCCCAGUGUGGCUGCCCAACAUCUGGAGGGGCCUCUGGAGAUAUCUGAAUGUUGAGGUCACUAACAUCACUGGGGGCACCGCCUUUGUGCUCCCGAGUUGCACCCCACAGCUGUCCCAGUGCCGCUGGACAGGAAUCCCAGAAUCAGGUUUUCUGGACACGACUUUGAGCACAUGGGGCCGGUCACGUGACAUGGAGCAGACUUCGGGAAUUUUACUAAAUAGAUUAUUUUCAGCUUGUCAGGGCUGCCGCGACGAAAUGCCAUCCUAUGCACGGCUCCUUUCUUGAGGGUAGAUUUCGCUCCUGGAAGUGGACCAGUACAGCGUUGAAGACGAGCUGGCUGCAACAGCCGCUGUGAACUGUGGCCCCGCCAUGCCACCCUGCCUUGGAGCCAACUGAGUAUGGACUGAAACCUCCAAAAACUAUUGGUCUGCUUUCUGAGGCAUUUCCUGGUACCUGAGCUCCGCCCAGCCCUCCUAGCCGGGAAGCCAGCCGCCCCACUCUCCUUAGAGCCCUGGACCUCGGCCACAUCUGCUUCUGCACGCUGGGCUGUCAGCAGGGUCUCUGCCCCACAACCCAGACACAGCUUCUCGGAGGCCCUGGAUCCCGUAUGCAAUGCCACCACCGCCACAUGGGCAGCGCAGGAGGCUGCUGAUCCCCCCCUUGCUUCUCAUCCUCCUCUCACAGCCGCUCCAUCAGAAGGGACCCGGCCAGGCACAGCUGCAGGCUUAAACCCUCCCACCUGGACCACUGGAAGCCCCCGAGGAUCGCAAAGGCAAGUUCCCACAUCGGCCCCCUGUGCACCAAUGCGUGUCUUCAGAAUCUUAGUGUCUUUGUUCCAAGAUGCCAGCACGGUUCAUCCUGGAGCCGUCACCCAGCCCUCGGGGAGGCUGCGUGCUCCUGAACCCGCUAUGCCCCCAGUUCACCGCCGGCCAUUCUUGCUCCUGUUCCCACCAGCACUGCCUCAGCCUCCUGCUUCCCCUCACCCCUGGGUUUUCGGCUUCUGAGUCUGCGUGUGCUGCCUGUCACCUGCUCUGCCAGGGCCACACGGUGCUGUCCCCACGUGGUCCUUGCACAGCUGCCCCCACUCCUCCUGACCAUGUGAUGUCCUGCCUGGACACCAGGCCCCUCUGUAAGUGCUGGCUGACAUCUGGGGUCUCUGGUUAUCUCUUAGCUCCUGCCCUCACCCUGGGACAUAAACCCCACAACAGAGAAGGGACACUCUGUCAAUACGGCAUCCGAGAGGGUUAGAUGACGCCGCUUCAGGCUCUAUGAGGGGUAAACACACACUGGUGUCUGAGGGUGGCUCUUUAGUAAAUGCUAGUGUCACAUGCAGCUGAGCCAGUUAGAAAUACAGACCACUGGACAGGGUUGGGCCCUCGAGGAAGCCGGCACAGAGGACCAGAUGUCUGGAGACCUGGAGGAGACACACACCUCCUGCUGUGGGCCAGAUCUUGGGACAGAAGGCAAAACAAAUAUGACCAUACUCUUAAGUAUAAUCCUUAGGGAUUAGGUGUGGAUCACCCAGAGAAGCCAGGAGUCACCAUCCCAGCCCCCUAGAGGAAGAGUCACUGAUCCAUAAAGAACGCUCGCUUGCUAUGUGACUGGCUUCCCCAUUUGUCCCUGAUUUAGUCAAUUUUACCUGAACAAUUAAACUUACUGGUUGACAACAGCUCUGUCCCACCUGAUGCCCAUCUGCCUUGAAAGUUCCCGGUUUUCCCCACCUUAGAGCAGCCUCACCUCGUGCUUUUUUCUAUAAAAGUCCCUAGAAAAAACAGAGUCUUUGGCAACCCACUCAGGACCCCUUCUGUCUCUCUCUCAGACAGAAGCUUUCUUCCUCUCAAUAAAUAUUUCUGCUCUUAACCUCCAUUGUUCCUAAAAUUCAUUUUUGAUUUUAGAGAACAUGAACUCAUUCCAGACACAUAGUAGGUUGGGAGUUUUGUUCCCCUAGAUCACUAGGAGACAUGCGAACUCCUGAACCCCGUGAAGGGCUGUGUGGACACCCUGUGAAGGGCUGGGACUGACUGACCCAGUGCUGCAGUGUGGAGGGGUUGCUGGGGACCGAGCACCUCUGCUGAGACCUCGGCUGGUCACAGGGUGAGGACCAGAACCGACGGCACAGCACGUUGUGAGUGCUUGACACCAUGCGGUCCAAUGAGUCCCUGAGGACAGCUGAAAAUCGGCGCACAAACAAAGCACACUCUGCAGAGACCACCCCGAUGAGGGCGCCCACCCCGGGACCGUGAGACGGACCUAAAUGUGACCCAGGCUCAGGCUGUCUCAGCAGGGCAGUGCUCGGUGUCCCAGAAAGCCAGCGCUGAGUGUGACUGCAGGAAAAUUCAUUCACGGGAUGAGGGGAAGGGAAGCAGAAGUGGUGGGACCGGAGAAAUGAAUCAUUCACUAUCACACGAGCGAGGACAGAUCCCCAAGUUCUAAAUCAGGAGUUGCUGGCUCACGCAGUCAACGCCCAGCUCAGAAUAUGGCCACACGCAGGACCGGGAGGGUCCACAGUGCUGCCACCAAGGGACUUUACUGAGGUGUAACUGAUACAUAAUAAACCGAAUAAUCCAACACAAAUACAUUCUCUUACCCCCAUUACUGGCAACCACUGAUCUGCUUUCUGCCAUUACCGUAUUUCCUGUAAUUUUAUAAAAGAGGAAAUG